CCUGGCUCAGGAUGAACGCUAGCUACAGGCUUAACACAUGCAAGUCGAGGGGCAUCAGGAAGAAAGCUUGCUUUCUUUGCUGGCGACCGGCGCACGGGUGAGUAACACGUAUCCAACCUGCCCUUUACUCGGGGAUAGCCUUUCGAAAGAAAGAUUAAUACCCGAUAGUAUAAUGAUUCCGCAUGGUUUCAUUAUUAAAGGAUUCCGGUAAAGGAUGGGGAUGCGUUCCAUUAGGUUGUUGGUGAGGUAACGGCUCACCAAGCCUUCGAUGGAUAGGGGUUCUGAGAGGAAGGUCCCCCACAUUGGAACUGAGACACGGUCCAAACUCCUACGGGAGGCAGCAGUGAGGAAUAUUGGUCAAUGGGCGCUAGCCUGAACCAGCCAAGUAGCGUGAAGGAUGAAGGCUCUAUGGGUCGUAAACUUCUUUUAUAUAAGAAUAAAGUGCAGUAUGUAUACUGUUUUGUAUGUAUUAUAUGAAUAAGGAUCGGCUAACUCCGUGCCAGCAGCCGCGGUAAUACGGAGGAUCCGAGCGUUAUCCGGAUUUAUUGGGUUUAAAGGGAGCGUAGGUGGACUGGUAAGUCAGUUGUGAAAGUUUGCGGCUCAACCGUAAAAUUGCAGUUGAUACUGUCAGUCUUGAGUACAGUAGAGGUGGGCGGAAUUCGUGGUGUAGCGGUGAAAUGCUUAGAUAUCACGAAGAACUCCGAUUGCGAAGGCAGCUCACUGGACUGCAACUGACACUGAUGCUCGAAAGUGUGGGUAUCAAACAGGAUUAGAUACCCUGGUAGUCCACACAGUAAACGAUGAAUACUCGCUGUUUGCGAUAUACAGUAAGCGGCCAAGCGAAAGCAUUAAGUAUUCCACCUGGGGAGUACGCCGGCAACGGUGAAACUCAAAGGAAUUGACGGGGGCCCGCACAAGCGGAGGAACAUGUGGUUUAAUUCGAUGAUACGCGAGGAACCUUACCCGGGCUUAAAUUGCAGUGGAAUGAUGUGGAAACAUGUCAGUGAGCAAUCACCGCUGUGAAGGUGCUGCAUGGUUGUCGUCAGCUCGUGCCGUGAGGUGUCGGCUUAAGUGCCAUAACGAGCGCAACCCUUAUCUUUAGUUACUAACAGGUCAUGCUGAGGACUCUAGAGAGACUGCCGUCGUAAGAUGUGAGGAAGGUGGGGAUGACGUCAAAUCAGCACGGCCCUUACGUCCGGGGCUACACACGUGUUACAAUGGGGGGUACAGAAGGCAGCUAGCGGGUGACCGUAUGCUAAUCCCAAAAUCCUCUCUCAGUUCGGAUCGAAGUCUGCAACCCGACUUCGUGAAGCUGGAUUCGCUAGUAAUCGCGCAUCAGCCACGGCGCGGUGAAUACGUUCCCGGGCCUUGUACACACCGCCC
rnacentral:rRNA from 2 species